rnacentral:lncRNA from 1 species
AUGACACUAGAAUCUAUCAUGACAAUUUUUACAGAAUGAAAAUUUGACAACUUGGAGGAAAAUCAGAUUUCUUGGAAUCUUUGUAAAUGAAGUAUCAAAAAGUUGAAGAGUGGAGAAUCUCAAGGCUGGAACCAUGUUGGGACUGGCCCUUGACAAGUUGAUGUGCCUUUUGCAUAUUCGCAGUGCUGGAAACUCAUGAAAGUAUCUCCUCCAAAGUUGGAGGUGAAAGAGGCGGCU